rnacentral:rRNA from 1 species
GCGUACCUUUUGUAUAAUGGGUCAGCGACUUAUAUUCUGUAGCAAGGUUAACCGAAUAGGGGAGCCGGAGGGAAACCGAGUCUUAAUUGGGCGUUAAGUUGCAGGGUAUAGACCCGAAACCCGGUGAUCUAGCCAUGGGCAGGUUGAAGGUUGGGUAACACUAACUGGAGGACCGAACCGACUAAUGUUGAAAAAUUAGCGGAUGACCUGUGGCUGGGGGUGAAAGGCCAAUCAAACCGGGAGAUAGCUGGUUCUCCCCGAAAGCUAUUUAGGUAGCGCCUCGUGAAUUCAUCUCCGGGGGUAGAGCACUGUUUCGGCUAGGGGGCCAUCCCGGCUUACCAACCCGAUGCAAACUGCGAAUACCGGAGAAUGUUAUCACGGGAGACACACGGCGGGUGCUAACGUCCGUCGUGAAGAGGGAAACAACCCAGACCGCCAGCUAAGGUCCCAAAGUCAUGGUUAAGUGGGAAACGAUGUGGGAAGGCCCAGACAGCCAGGAUGUUGGCUUAGAAGCAGCCAUCAUUUAAAGAAAGCGUAAUAGCUCACUGGUCGAGUCGGCCUGCGCGGAAGAUGUAACGGGGCUAAACCAUGCACCGAAGCUGCGGCAGCGACACUCAGGUGUUGUUGGGUAGGGGAGCGUUCUGUAAGCCUGCGAAGGUGGCCUGUGAGGGUUGCUGGAGGUAUCAGAAGUGCGAAUGCUGACAUAAGUAACGAUAAAGCGGGUGAAAAGCCCGCUCGCCGGAAGACCAAGGGUUCCUGUCCAACGUUAAUCGGGGCAGGGUGAGUCGACCCCUAAGGCGAGGCCGAAAGGCGUAGUCGAUGGGAAACGGGUUAAUAUUCCCGUACUUGGUGUUACUGCGAAGGGGGGACGGAGAAGGCUAUGUUGGCCGGGCGACGGUUGUCCCGGUUUAAGCGUGUAGGCUGGUUUUCCAGGCAAAUCCGGAAAAUCAAGGCUGAGGCGUGACGACGAGGCACUACGGUGCUGAAGCAACAAAUGCCCUGCUUCCAGGAAAAGCCUCUAAGCAUCAGGUAACACGAAAUCGUACCCCAAACCGACACAGGUGGUCAGGUAGAGAAUACCAAGGCGCUUGAGAGAACUCGGGUGAAGGAACUAGGCAAAAUGGUGCCGUAACUUCGGGAGAAGGCACGCUGACAUGUAGGUGAAGUGAUUUACUCAUGGAGCUGAAGUCAGUCGAAGAUACCAGCUGGCUGCAACUGUUUAUUAAAAACACAGCACUGUGCAAACACGAAAGUGGACGUAUACGGUGUGACGCCUGCCCGGUGCCGGAAGGUUAAUUGAUGGGGUCAGCGCAAGCGAAGCUCCUGAUCGAAGCCCCGGUAAACGGCGGCCGUAACUAUAACGGUCCUAAGGUAGCGAAAUUCCUUGUCGGGUAAGUUCCGACCUGCACGAAUGGCGUAAUGAUGGCCAGGCUGUCUCCACCCGAGACUCAGUGAAAUUGAACUCGCUGUGAAGAUGCAGUGUACCCGCGGCAAGACGGAAAGACCCCGUGAACCUUUACUAUAGCUUGACACUGAACAUUGAGCCUUGAUGUGUAGGAUAGGUGGGAGGCUUUGAAGUGUGGACGCCAGUCUGCAUGGAGCCGACCUUGAAAUACCACCCUUUAAUGUUUGAUGUUCUAACGUGGACCCGUGAUCCGGGUUGCGGACAGUGUCUGGUGGGUAGUUUGACUGGGGCGGUCUCCUCCUAAAGAGUAACGGAGGAGCACGAAGGUUGGCUAAUCCUGGUCGGACAUCAGGAGGUUAGUGCAAUGGCAUAAGCCAGCUUGACUGCGAGCGUGACGGCGCGAGCAGGUGCGAAAGCAGGUCAUAGUGAUCCGGUGGUUCUGAAUGGAAGGGCCAUCGCUCAACGGAUAAAAGGUACUCCGGGGAUAACAGGCUGAUACCGCCCAAGAGUUCAUAUCGACGGCGGUGUUUGGCACCUCGAUGUCGGCUCAUCACAUCCUGGGGCUGAAGUAGGUCCCAAGGGUAUGGCUGUUCGCCAUUUAAAGUGGUACGCGAGCUGGGUUUAGAACGUCGUGAGACAGUUCGGUCCCUAUCUGCCGUGGGCGCUGGAGAACUGAGGGGGGCUGCUCCUAGUACGAGAGGACCGGAGUGGACGCAUCACUGGUGUUCGGGUUGUCAUGCCAAUGGCACUGCCCGGUAGCUAAAUGCGGAAGAGAUAAGUGCUGAAAGCAUCUAAGCACGAAACUUGCCCCGAGAUGAGUUCUCCCUGAGACUUUAGGUCUCCUGAAGGAACGUUGAAGACGACGACGUUGAUAGGCCGGGUGUGUAAGCGCAGCGAUGCGUUGAGCUAACCGGUACUAAUGAACCGUGAGGCUUAACCUU